rnacentral:rRNA from 1 species
GACGAACGCUGGCGGCGUGCUUAACACAUGCAAGUCGAACGGAAAGGCCCUGCUUGUGUGGGGUGCUCGAGUGGCGAACGGGUGAGUAACACGUGAGUAACCUGCCCUUGACUGUGGGAUAACUUCAGGAAACUGGGGCUAAUACCGGAGAGGAGCUCCUGCUGCAGGGGGGGGGUUGGAAAGUUUCGGCGGUUGGGGAUGGACUCGCGGCUUAUCAGCUUGUUGGUGGGGUAGUGGCUUACCGAGGCUUUGACGGGUAGCCGGCCUGAGAGGGUGACCGGCCACAUUGGGACUGAGAUACGGCCCAGACUGCUACGGGAGGCAGCAGUGGGGAAUAUUGCACAAUGGGCGGAAGCCUGAUGCAGCAACGCCGCGUGCGGGAUGACGGCCUUCGGGUUGUAAACCGCUUUCGCCUGUGACGAAGCGUGAGUGACGGUAAUGGGUAAAGAAGCACCGGCUAACUACGUG